rnacentral:rRNA from 1 species
GCGAGCGAAGCGGCAAGAGCUCAGCUUUGGAAUCGGCGGAAGUCGAGUUGUAGAGUGAAGCGCGGCAGCUGGCGGGACCGGACGCGUCCAAGUUUCUUGGAACAGAACAUCGCAGAGGGUGAGAAUCCCGUGGGAUGUGUCCUGGCCCGUGUGUAGUUGCUGUGCGGCGAGUCGAGUUGUUUGGGAAUGCAGCUCCAAGCGGGUGGUAAACACCAUCUAAGGCUAAAUACCGGCGAGAGACCGAUAGCGAACAAGUACAGUGAUGGAAAGAUGAAAAGCACUUUGAAAAGAGAGUGAAACAGCACGUGAAAUUGUUGAAAGGGAAGGGCUUGCAAUUAGUGCCUCGCAAGAGGACCAGCAUCAGUUAGUGGGCGUCCACAAGGGCCGGGGAACGUGGCUCGCAUGCGUGCGAGUGUUUAUAGCCCCGGGCGAUGGCCGUUUGCUGACUGAGGACCGCGCUUCGGCAAGGAUGCUGGGGUAAUGAUUGCCAGCCGCCC